rnacentral:lncRNA from 1 species
AUACAAGAAUUCAAAGCAGUAAUAUAAAGCUCAAUUGAAUAAGAAAGCUAAAGGAUAUCAAUUUCCAAAGGAAUGAAACCAGAAUAUACAAAAUCAACCAAAGCUUGAUUUCUAGUAGAAUUCAAGAGGCACAUUGAACAAAUGAUUCAAACUAUCAAUCGUGCUCCAAUUUACUCAAAAAUAUAUCAUUGGAAAGAUAUUUCAAUCUACUUUCAGAUAAAACAAGCUUUAUAUAAAUUGAACUGUCCAACAGAGAGUUACAAAUAAUUUGGUAAACAAG